rnacentral:lncRNA from 1 species
AGACUCUUUGAACCACAGAAACAUUGGCAACAGAUCCAUCUGAGAAUUUUGGAAAACCUAAGCAUCUCAGAAUCUUGAGAGCCAGGGAAUGUUUCUUCAAGAACCCUGAAACCUGAAAUCAUAAUAGCUACCAUUUAUCAAGCUCUUAGAAAGCAGCAGACCCUACACUAUGUACUUAACAUAGGUUAUUUCUGAUAAUCACCACCUUAGUUCCAUUUUGCAGAUGAGGAAACCAAGGUCCAGAGAGCUGAUUCACCCAAGGGCAAAGUUAGAAACAUAAGCCAAGGCUUCCAUGACACCUGGGUGUGGGAGAGAGAGGAGAGGAUAUAAAGCAUGAAUAUCCCCAGCUGACCACUCAAGAGGCUGGCUGAAGGACUGUGGGCUGAGGUAGAUCCUGUGCCUCAUAGCCCACUUCUGUCUGCUAUGCCUGUACUUAGAUGAGAUUUAUUUCAUUCAUUUUUCCUAGUAAACCUGUUUUUCAAGCCAUCACUUUAACUUCAGCCUCUCAAUUCUCAUUAUCCUGCUUGAAUGUAUGUCUUAGAUCCUGCACUUGGCUGUGGGGAAAAGCCUGUACAUAUACUUAGAUGUUUACAGUCUGUCUCCCCCAGUAAAACAGGUGUGCAAUUGAGAAGAGACCUGGCCACUGUGUCUGCAGCAACCAGGGCAGCACAAUGUCUUUAGAUUUCUGUGACUUUGCUGAAAGAAUGAACACCCAGUCCCCUGCUCCCACUCCUGCUCUCCUGCUUGGCCCCCAGUCAAGCACUCUGGGGAGCACCAGUUGGAUGCAGGAAUUCCUAAAUCAAACUAGCUGUGGCAAAGGACUGGUUUUCACAUAUAAUCCAUCAUGGACCAAUACUUUGGCAAGACAAAAUAAAACCUGGCCUAGAAAAGUGAAAAAAAGAAAGAAGACAUACAGAAUAUAUAAGCUCAUAAUUUAUAUUAGCAGAUUAACUAGACAAAAUUAUAUUUCAAUGAAUAUAAUCAUGGGGAAAAAGGAAAAUUAUGAAAACAAUUCAUUGUGAGCAAAUAGGCAAUUGAUACAGAGUCACUGCCAUGCUCAUAACUUGUCAUUCCACAAUCUAAACAGAGUUAUUUCAGAAGUUGGGAUUCUCCACAUUAUAAGACUACAGCAAGUGUCAGCAAGCGAUAGCCCACAGACCCAAUAUGGUCCCCAAGCUAAAAAUGGUUUUUACAGUCUAGUAACAAUUGGGGAAAGAAAAUAAAAGAAUAAUAAGACACAUAAAAGUUUAUAAAAUUCAAAUUUCAGGGUGCCUGGGUGGCUCAGUGGUUGAGUGUCUGCCUUCAGCUCAGGCUAUGAUCCCGGGGUCCUGGGAUCGAGUUCUGCAUUGGGCUUCCCGCGGGGAGCCUGCUUAUCUCUCUGCCUAUGUCUCUGCCUCUCUCUGUGUGUCUCUCAUGAAUAAAUAAAUAAUUUUUAAAAAGAACACUGAAUCGGGAUCCCUGGGUGGCGCAGCGGUUUGGCGCCUGGCUUUGGCCCAGGGCGCGAUCCUGGAGACCCGGAAUCGAAUCCCACGUCAGGCUCCCGGUGCAUGGAGCCUACUUCUCCCUCUGCCUAUGUCUCUGCCUCUCUCUCUCUCUGUCUCUGUGACUAUCAUAAAUUAAAAAAAAUUUUUUUAAUUAAAAAAAAAAACACUGAAUCACAACAGUUAAAGUUUCAAUGUGACCCACGUGCUUGAUUUUUGCUGGUUAGAUUAUGUAAUCCAAACAGGAUUGGCAGUAACACUAUCCUCGGGGAACAAGGAAUAUCUUAACUCCGAAUGUAACUUAUUUUUUUAGUUGAAAAAUACACCGAUAGAUGUGUUCAGACCAGGAACAUUAGAUUUCCUUAGCAGGUUGUGACUCAUUUCAUCCUCCGUGCUUUUUGCCUCAUAGCCCACUUCUGUCUGCUAUGCCUGUACUUAGAUGAGCUUUCUUUCAUUCAUUUCUUCUAGUAAACCUGUUUUUCAAGCCAUCACUUUAACUUUAGCCUCUCAAUUCUCAUUAUCCUGCUUGAAUGUAUGUCUUAGAUCCUGCACUCGGCUGUGGGGAAAAGCCUGGUAUCUGUCCUUUCCUGACUGCUUUCUGCCCUACAGUAGAAGGACCUCUGAUCUUUAGCAUGGCAUGCAGCCCCCUCAAAUAAAGACCGCAUUUCCCAGCAUCCUUUGUAGCUACCUAUACCAGGUGAGGAGCCCUACCUAAUGGGGUAUAAGUGGUUCAUGUUCAGGGAUGCCUGGGUGGCUCAGUGGUUGAGCAUCUAUCUACCUUUGGCUCAGGUUGUGAUGCCAGGGUCCUGGGAUCAAGUCCUGUAUCAGGCUCCUCGCAGGGAGCCUGCUUCUCCCUCUGCAUAUGUCUCUCCCUCUCUCUGUAUCUUUUAUGAA